rnacentral:rRNA from 1 species
CAGCAGCCGCGGUAAUACGUAUGUCGCGAGCGUUAUCCGGAAUUAUUGGGCAUAAAGGGCAUCUAGGCGGACUGACAAGUCAGGGGUGAAAACCUGCGGCUCAACCGCAGGCCUGCCUUUGAAACUGUGAGGCUGGAGUACCGGAGAGGUGGACGGAACUGCACGAGUAGAGGUGAAAUUCGUAGAUAUGUGCAGGAAUGCCGAUGAUGAAGAUAGUUCACUGGACGGUAACUGACGCUGAAGUGCGAAAGCCGGGGGAGCGAACAGGAUUAGAUACCCCUGUAGUCCCUGUCUCUUAUAC